rnacentral:lncRNA from 1 species
UUCCCCCGCGGCCAGUACAGGUCUCUCCUCUUGUCCCUAUGGCCAGUGGACCUCGAGUCGCUCUCCAAGUCAUACACGUGGGAGCUGAUCCACGCUGCAGGAGAGGAAGGGAAAUCGGUGCUCCUUCUGUAACUCAAGAGCUUUAGCAUGGGUUCCGGCCAGUUUGGAGAGACGGUCCCCCGCGGCAGUCGAACAUUGGCUUCGCUGAGGUGCUGCAGCGGUUGGGUGCGGGGAAUAAACAACUGUCUGAAUAACUAUUGCAAGUAUACAACGGGGGACCUUGCUCGACAAGAUCAGAGAAUGCACGGGGGACCUUGCUCGACAAGAUCAGAGAAUGCACGUGGAGGCAAGACUGAGAAGGAGCUUGUAAGACCUCAGGGAAGGAGUGAAUUUGGCAGAAUCACAGGUCUCUGUGUGGGACUCCGGAUCUGAGAGGCUACCCCUCACAGUGGUAAGGAAAGAUGGUUGUCAGAUCACAUUUUUCCGAGUUUGUACAGCGAAAUGCGAGGUUUUCCCGAAAACUAGAAGAAAUACAGAGUGAUGAGGAUGACCAAGUCUAGAAGGGGUACUUCCCCAAUGUUUAGCAAAUAUCCCGUUUUGCAAAGACAAAGACAAAAAGGUCCAGAUGAUGUCGACUAGAGAUAACAAAGCUAGUCCAGAAGCCAAGACCCUAUCCACUUGUACCUGACUCCGAAUCGCAUACAGCACUUGCCACUCACUCUAAUAAGCGACUCUUAAGAACAUUCCUAAUUGUAUAAAAGUGGUGAGUCUGUCCAAACUCCAGACGGCUUUUAGAACUGUGUCAUAUUUAGUAAAAGAGAUUUACACUAAAUCCGCUGUGAAGGAAGAAACCAGGGUAGUAAGUUUUCUUAGGUAAGCCAGAAAUGUCUUCUAAUUCCCAACGACUAAUUGUUUCAAACAAUUAUUUUCCAGCCCCGCAUAACUGCAAACACCAGACCGCAGAGCCCAACCGGCGAUCACCACCUCCUACCGAAUCCAGCGGAUAUCCAAGAAGCGACUAUUGACACUGUCUCCUGUUGCGAUCACUGGCUCUCGUAGACUUUGCUCACUACCGGAGCUGCACUGUUUUUCUCAUUUGGAACCCUUUCUUUUUGGUCUUGGCUUAGGAAAUCACUCUGGUCAUUAAUAACUGCAAUAAGAUCACCGUGGCCCUAGUCACUCGGGAUGGCGAGGAGCCCAGAGGUUCCGCUGCCGUCGGCGGGCUCAGUCCGUUCCUCCGGUGGGGGAAAGCCUACACUGGACCUGCCUGUGCCACCCAGGGCUUUUCUCACUCCAUCUCCUAGCCGCCCCUGGCUUUCCCUGGCUGCGCCAGUGGGUAAGGCCUCCAGGACACUAGACCCACUUGUCUGCUAAUGUGCGGUUUCCAGGCCAAGAACUCCAGAGAUACUGAACAAGGAAUGUGGGCUCUAGAAAGAACGUGGAGAAAAUCAGAGAAGCGCUUCAGCUAGGGUUGUUGGAAACAGGCGAAAUUCUGAGAGCCUUUUGAAAUUUGUGCCCGAUUCUUUUCCUUGUUUUAUUCCUUUCCCUCUCUCUUCACAUGCUUUCAUGUUCUUUAAAUUUUCCUCUUGACUUUCUUGAGUUUUAGAGUUCCCAAGCCGCUGGAGUCCCUGUGAGAAGAGAAAAUGUCACUUUGGGAUCACUGGUGUCCUCAGAGAAGGGAAGACCAAGUUCAAUUGUAAUUGGCAACUUAAUCCCAGUCUCACGUUCUUGUGGUCAGCUUCUUCCGCCCUGUGUUCCUAAAGUGGAGCCACCAGCCACAUACAACAGCAGAAACUAUGUGCAGAGGAUGGUAAGGACAGAAAGACAGCAAUGCAGUGCUGCUUCUUGAACUUCGUUUCACUUGUCUGUCAGUCUUAAUUGUCUUCACUGAGUUAAUCAAUAACUGUAACUGAGGAAAAUAAAUCACUGUAGAGCCUCAUUCUCCCAUCUCAAGGACUAUAAAAUAACUUAAUGCACACUUGUAGGGUUAAAAAGUAGCAUCAAAUGACCACUCAUUUAGCUACCUCUAGGUUUGAAAUAGUUUUCCAGGUUGGCAUGCCUGUAAUCCCAGCAACUCGGGAGGCUGAGGCAGGAGGAUCAUGAAUCAAAGCCUACCCCAGCAGAUUAGCAAGGCACUUAGCAACUCAGCAAGACCCUGUCUCUAAAUUAUAUAUAUAUGGCUGGGGAUGUGGCUCAGCGGUUAAGCAGUCCUGGGUUCAAUCCCUGGUAUCAAAAAAAUAAAAAAUAAAAAAAAGUUUUCCAGGAGAAAUUAGAGUCCAGAAUCUUUAGAGUAGCCAAAAAACAAAACAAAACAAGAUAGGAACUGUACCUGAUAUACCCACAUAAUAUCACUUCCAUGCACAAAGGGAGGGAGAAAUGGUUCAACAGGGAUAUGUGUAGCUUCAAGAACAAUUUAUCCUUAAUGCCCACCUGGGGUUAGUGGCUGCCUCAAAGAGAAGAAGGCAAGGUCCCUCUCCCCAGAUUUGUUUGUUUGUUUGUUUACGUUUUUGGUGACUGGGGAUCUUGCUCAGCCCCAGCAUAUCAAGAAAGUAAAAGGAAGGUGGGGGGUGUGGGGAGAAAGUAGCUAGAUAAUGGAGAAUAUCUAUACUGGGAUUGUCUUUGUAGAAGAGGAAGUGUGUAUAAUGGGAUGUGGGUUUCUCCCCAAGCAAUCCCUAUACUACAGAUGCCUCUCCCAGUAGGCCUGCAUACUGGCUGCCUACAGGGAAGCUUCCUGGCUUUGCCUGUUCUGUUUCAUCCCUCCUGCCUUCUGGAGAUUUCUCAACUCCAAAAGCUAAGGCAUUUUCUCCAGAGUGUAAACAGUCACCAGCCUAUAUAGAUGAGAGAGAAAUCCAUGACACUGUAAAGCAACUACCGAAUAAGGGGUGGCAGGUAGGUAGAAGGGCAAAGAAUGGGAGGUAGAGCUUCUGGGGCUUUGCUUCCAAAGGCUGACACACACUCAGUCCUCUCCCAGCUUAGGGUUAGGUGAUCCCUUCUGCUUACUGAACAA